CGCAAGAGUGAAACUUAAAGAAAUUGACGGAAAGGCACCACCAGAUGUGGAGCCUGCGGCUUAAUUUGACUCAACACGGGAAAACUUACCAGGUCAAGACAUAGUAAUGAUUGACAGAUUAAAGUUCUUUCUUGAUUCUAUGCAUGGUGGUGCAUGGCCGUUCUUAGUUGGUGGAGUGAUUUGUCUGGUUAAUUCCGAUAACGAACGAGACCUCAGCCAUCUAAAUAGCUGAAGCUAACUCGUUAGCAAUCCAUCAGCUUCUUAGAGGGACAAUCUGUGACUUCAGCAGAUGGAAGUUUGAGGCAAUAACAGGUCAGUGAUGCCCUUAGAUGCUCUGGGCUGCACGCGCGCUACAAUGGUGCAUUCAGCGAGUUUAACCUUGCCUGAGAAGGCCGGGUAAUCUUUAAAGUGCAUCCAAGUUGGGAUAGAUGAUUGCAAUUGUUCAUCUUGAACAAGGAAUAUCUAGUAAACGCAAGUCAUCAACUUGCAUUGAUUACGUCCCUGCCUUUUGUACACACCGCCCGUCGCUUCUACCGAUUGAAUAAUCCGGUGAAUUGAGUGGAUGGGGAGACUCAGUCACCCCAGAAGCUCCGUAAACCUUAUUAUUUA
rnacentral:rRNA from 1 species